rnacentral:rRNA from 1 species
GGAUGAACGCUGGCGGUCUGCUUAACACAUGCAAGUCGAACGGGCUCUUCGGAGCUAGUGGCGGACGGGUGAGUAACGCGUGAGAAUCUGCCUUCAGGAGGGGGAUAACGACUGGAAACGGUCGCUAAUACCCCAUAUGCCUCCGGGCGAAAAGUAAUUCGCCUGAAGAUGAGCUCGCGUCAGAUUAGCUAGUUGGUGGGGUAAGAGCCUACCAAGGCGACGAUCUGUAGCUGGUCUGAGAGGAUGAUCAGCCACACUGGGACUGAGACACGGCCCAGACUCCUACGGGAGGCAGCAGUGGGGAAUUUUCCGCAAUGGGCGCAAGCCUGACGGAGCAAGACCGCGUGGAGGAUGACGGCCUAAUGGUUGUAAACCCCUUUUCUCUGGGAAGAAGACUGACGGUACCAGAGGAAUCAGCCUCGGCUAACUCCGUGCCAGCAGCCGCGGUAAUACGGAGGAGGCAAGCGUUAUCCGGAAUUAUUGGGCGUAAAGCGUCCGUAGGUGGUUAUUCAAGUCUGCUGUCAAAGCGUGGGGCUUAACUCCAUAGAGGCAGUGGAAACUGAGUGACUAGAGUGCGGUAGGGGUCGAGGGAAUUCCCAGUGUAGCGGUGAAAUGCGUAGAUAUUGGGAAGAACACCAGUGGCGAAAGCGCUCGACUGGGCCUGCACUGACACUGAGGGACGAAAGCUAGGGGAGCGAAAGGGAUUAGAUACCCCUGUAGUCCUAGCCGUAAACGAUGGAUACUAGGUGUUGCUCGUCAUCGACCCGAGCAGUGCCGUAGCCAACGCGUUAAGUAUCCCGCCUGGGGAGUACGCUCGCAA